rnacentral:rRNA from 1 species
GUACACUCCUGCGGGAGGCAGCAGUGGGGAAUUUUGGACAAUGGGCGAAAGCCUGAUCCAGCCAUGCCGCGUGCAGGAUGAAGGCCUUCGGGUUGUAAACUGCUUUUGUACGGAACGAAACGGCCUUUUCUAAUAAAGAGGGCUAAUGACGGUACCGUAAGAAUAAGCACCGGCUAACUACAUGCCAGCAGCCGCGGUAAUACGUAGGGUGCAAGCGUUAAUCGGAAUUACUGGGCGUAAAGCGUGCGCAGGCGGUUAUGUAAGACAGUUGUGAAAUCCCCGGGCUCAACCUGGGAACUGCAUCUGUGACUGCAUAGCUAGAGUACGGUAGAGGGGGAUGGAAUUCCGCGUGUAGCAGUGAAAUGCGUAGAUAUGCGGAGGAACACCGAUGGCGAAGGCAAUCCCCUGGACCUGUACUGACGCUCAUGCACGAAAGCGUGGGGAGCAAACAGGAUUAGAUACCCCGGUAGUCCCAUGAU